CUGUGUUCUUCAGUAUAAUAAAACACCUAAUGACUGGUUGUGCGGGUAAUAGCAAGUUUGUUGUCCCUUCGCAUACCAACUAUUGCUCUCGGCUUUGCCUCGAGCAAUAGUUGGUACCUCAGGGACAACAAACUUGCUAUUACCCUCACACCCAGUCAAUAGGUGUAUACUAUUAAUGAACUUAUAGUACUAUUACUGAACUUCAGACGAAAUAUAUAUCGAAAUAUUAAACAGCAUAUACCUAUCUGUACUGAAAAUGCAAAAUAUGCUGUCAUUGUGUCACUGUCAGUUA
rnacentral:lncRNA from 1 species